CCGUGGAGAUCGAUGCUGAAAAAGCAUCGAUCUCCACAGGGGCCGGGGUCAAAAAUUCCGUUGUUAAGAGCGUGCGGCUUGUUAUGACACUAUCUUACGUUCUGUAAUCAACAUCACCCAAUCAGAAUCCGCUAUUUUGCAUACGUCAUUCACCCCUUGCUGGCUGCCUGGGAUGUCGCCGACUUGUACUGGUUCUCGUUGGAUUGUACCGGUUGCAUUUUCUUAGCGAAUCUCCGUGAUUUUAGGGAAUUUUAUCGAAUUUUAGUGAUCAAAUCAAAAUGAUCUCCAAUAAAUUUGUUGUUGUGGAGUGGCUGAACAACGCAGAGGAUCGUUGCGAGUUAACAGUUCUCAGGGGAAGUGAAGUUUUGCGCCAGGGUGGUUUGGUAUCGGUGGUAUUCAUUGCAUUGCAGCAGAUAACACACCAAGACUUUACGAGGCAGAAGUGUUGCAAAACUUCGACUCACAGCGCAAGGCAAGCAGUUUGAAAACGAGCUGCUUGAGGGAGGCAACGACAGCGUUGACCGAGGUUUACAAAGAUGUUCCUGCAGAGGAUCAGCCCAGUCCAGUGUCACAACAAAAGCAGAAAAUUAAAUAUCUGUCAAAGCCCCUGGAAGGGGUGAAGAGGCUCCUGUCAGACCUCUUUACCGAAGAAGAGCUCAUGCGGUGCACACUGAAGGGGAAGGGAAGGACCAGCAACAAGAUGCAGAUAAUUUAUGGUGCAAUGAGGGGAAAUUACGGAAUGACUGAUGAGAAAAUGGACCAGCUGAUUAGAAAUCAGCAAAAAUCCUUAAAAGACAAAACCAAAAAAGUCUUCAGUAAAGCUAAGUGAAAUGUCCAUUGUUGGUGUAAAAUGUCCGCUUAAGUAGGUUUUUUAAUCAUAGAGAUAUUUUAGCUUGCCUUGCACUUUUUGUUGUAUACCAACUUUUUGUCGAAUUUGGUUUUGUCUUUUAACGAUUUUUGCUGAUUUCUAUAACGUUAUAGAAGUCACUGUUCACGUUGUAUCCGAAAAUUAUAAAGUUGAUUAUCAAAUUUUGAGAUAAUUGUAAAUUUGUUCUGUAUUCUAAAAAUAAAAUUAUUUGCUGGAAAAUAUUGCUAGCUAUUUGUAAUAAAUUACCGGAUAUCCAAGAAAAGCGUAUAAUAUUCUGCAAAAUGACAAUAUGUCAAUAACAAUAACAAUUUCCUUCAAUUCCGAAAAAUCUAAUAAAAUCCGAUUAUGCAUUCACUAAAAUCAAAGAAAAUCCAAUAUUGUCAAAGAAUAUCGUUCUUUAUCGCAAAAGGAACAACGCAUCUAUGCAUUCCCUGUCACAUUAAUGCAUAUUCCAAAAAAUCGCAUUAUAUCCAAUUGGAUAUUCCAGAAUAUCGUAGAAAAUCCUGUUUAAAGUAAGACUAUGCCUUUUGAGAUAUCCUAGAAUAUCCUGGAAUAUCGGUCCAAAUUUACCGUGAAAAUUCACACCUUGUAUCUAGAAUAUCCUAGGAAAUCGCAGGAUGUUCUAAGAUGAAUAUCGUGAGAUAUUCAAGGAUAUUACAGAAAGUCUUGGAAUAUCCCAGUUUCAUUUCGCACGGGGUGUGUCUGCAACUGUCUUGGCGCUUAUUCCGCGGGGCUUGGUUGUGUGAGUGUCGUGUUAAAUAAAGCUCUUUAUGUUUGCACAAAACCUCCUUGGAUUGUACGGGAAGUGGUUGUGUGAGUGUCGUGUUAAACCUCCUUGGGAUUGUACGAGAAGUGUUGUGUGAGGGUCGUGUUCAAGCUCGUUAUGUUUGUACUGUUUGCACGAAAGUUCUUAUAUUUGUACUGUUUGCACAAAACUUGGUUGUGCGAAAGUCGUGUUGAAGCUCCCCUCAUAUGAAUAAUAUUGUGACAAACAAAAGGACAAUGUGUGGUUGUUAGAAAUAAGGUUAUCUAAUGACCAUCAUCUAACAUUCUUAUCUUUUUGAAAACCUUAUUUCUUUAAGGUUAUGGCGUCCUUGGCUCUUUUUUUGAUGGUGCUUUCUGCUGCCUGGGCGCUGUUUUCUUGGAUAAGUCUCACAAACAACGCCAGCUUGGAGAGAAAACCGCUACUUGCCGCUGCCACCAGAAAGAAGAAAAAGCGACGACGACGUCACUCAUCUAAUCCAUCAAUCAGCAACGGGGAGAAACAAAGAACACCGACGCCAGUUUGACUCGGACUCAUGGGAACCCUGAGUGUAAAAACACAGCUUCUAUAGUGGUACAGAGUGAUGCAGUUAUUGGAAUACUUGUUGUUAUGAUCGAACUACAGGGUUCAACAAGCAUCUUUGAAGUGAUUCCUUCAAUAAAGCACAUGGCAAGCUUACAUAACAAUAGUGGGUCACGUGAUGGCGUGACUCCAUAUAUGGGACUACUCACAACACUUUUCAGAUGGCAGCCAUGGCCCUGAUCCUUGAGAUGUGUACAAGAUUUCAUAUAUAUAUAUAUAUAUGCGGCUGCAUUAGUUCUAUCAUGUUUUAGCUAUAAAUCCCGCUUAACACAUAGACUCCUGGCUAUUUUUGAGCUGAAUUUACAAUAAAACAGACCGAAAACAGAUACCUCGUAUUUUGAGUUUUAUACAGGCCGUCAAACUCAAACACCGCUGCACCUAGUCAGCGGUAUCCAAGAUUUCCAACAGUGCUUUGCGGUCCCGUCCCUCGUCGCUGUGCUAAUGCGAGCACAGUUUGAUGGUUGCUUCUAUUUUCCAUAAAAAUACAGCUAUUAGCGUAUUAGGAGAAAGCCCUAGCACAUCACGUAGUCUAUUGUGGCAUAUUUGAGUGCUUUGCAUAUGGAUAUUUGCAAGCAAAGGAUUCAUGAGGAUUUUUUCUUGUUUGGCUUUGCCUUGAUAAGAAAAAAAAAUCGUAAUAAAUCACCACAGCUCUCGUAAAUGCGUAAAUGCUGAAACCAAAUUAAUUCCAACACUGUUUACACUACUGCUAUUAUGGGGCUGUAUGACCUGGAAUUUAUUUGUUGUGGUUUGAGGAGAGUGACUUUAAGGAGACGGUUGACUGGCCCUCCCCUCGUGAAUUAUCCACGGAGCCUUCAAGAAGUGGACAUUGCGUUUUGAGGCCAUGGAAAUGGACCUGGAGGAUCAAAAUAAAGGUAUGUAUUUGUGUCUUGAGCUGUGUUUGCUGAUAUCUUUCCCUUGUGGUAUUUUGAGCUUUUUGUUGAGAGGGUCGAUUCUGUUGUUUUUCCUUGUUCGAUUUGAAAUUUGCAAAAUAAGUUGUGCUAUUUUUGGGCUGAAGGUAGUUACACUGCACCUUGCUUGGAUGCAUUGCACCAAGAACAUUAAUUAUCCCAUAGACUGAUGACUGCGUUUCCUCAUCUCGUUGUGUUUAUUUUGCUUUUAUUAAUUUUUUUUGUUAUGUGUCUUCUCCAAGCCGGUACAGGCCGGUUGAGGGGUCAAUGUGUUAAGAAUUGAGAAAAGGGCGGAGCCAGUUUAAUCUACGGUGUUUAAAACAAACUAGUCCUACCAUUCUAACACCACGAAACCCUACGAUUACAAUAAAGAGACGCCAUGAAAAUCAA